AGCUAAUACCGGAUAACACCGAAAACCGCAUGGUUUUCGGUUGAAAGGCGGCUUUUAGCUGUCACUGCAGGAUGGGCCCGCGGCGCAUUAGCUAGUUGGUGAGGUAACGGCUCACCAAGGCGACGAUGCGUAGCCGACCUGAGAGGGUGACCGGCCACACUGGGACUGAGACACGGCCCAGACUCNUACGGGAGGCAGCAGUAGGGAAUCUUCCGCAAUGGACGAAAGUCUGACGGAGCAACGCCGCGUGAGCGAAGAAGGUCUUCGGAUCGUAAAGCUCUGUUGUCAGGGAAGAACAAGUACCGUUCGAACAGGGCGGUACCUUGACGGUACCUGACGAGGAAGCCACGGCUAACUACGUGCCAGCAGCCGCGGUAAUACGUAGGUGGCAAGCGUUGUCCGGAAUUAUUGGGCGUAAAGCGCGCGCAGGCGGUUCCUUAAGUCUGAUGUGAAAUCUCGCGGCUCAACCGCGAGCGGCCAUUGGAAACUGGGGAACUUGAGUGCAGGAGAGGGGAGCGGAAUUCCACGUGUAGCGGUGAAAUGCGUAGAGAUGUGGAGGAACACCAGUGGCGAAGGCGGCUCUCUGGCCUGUAACUGACGCUGAGGCGCGAAAGCGUGGGGAGCGAACAGGAUUAGAUACCCUGGUAGUCCACGCCGUAAACGAUGAGUGCUAAGUGUUAGAGGGUAUCCACCCUUUAGUGCUGCAGCAAACGCAUUAAGCACUCCGCCUGGGGAGUACGGCCGCAAGGCUGAAACUCAAAGGAAUUGACGGGGACCCGCACAAGCGGUGGAGCGAUGUGGUUUAAUUCGAAGCAACGCGAAGAACCUUACCAGGUCUUGACAUCCCCUGACAACCCUAGAGAUAGGGCGUUCCCCUUUCGGGGACAGGGUGACAGGUGGUGCA
rnacentral:rRNA from 1 species